rnacentral:rRNA from 1 species
UACAGGGGGUGCAAACGUUGCUCGGAAUUAUUGGGCGUAAAGCGCGCGUAGGCGGCCACUUAAGUCGGAUGUGAAAGCCCCCGGCUCAACUGGGGAGGGUCACGCGAUACUGAUCGACUCGAAGGCAGGAGAGGGUAGUGGAAUUCCCGGUGUAGUGGUGAAAUGCGUAGAUAUCGGGAGGAACACCAGUGGCGAAGGCGACUACCUGGCCUGUUCUUGACGCUGAGGCGCGAAAGCUAGGGGAGCAAACGGG